GUCCAUGCCUUAAACGAUGCAUACUAGGAGUAGGAGGGCUCAACCCCCCCUGUUCCGGAGCUAACGCAUUAAGUAUGCCGCCUGGGGAGUACGCUCGCAAGGGUGAAACUCAAAAGAAUUGACGGGGGCCCGCACAAGCAGUGGAGCAUGUGGUUUAAUUCGAUGCAACGCGAAGAACCUUACCUGGGCUCGAAAUAUAGAGGACGAUAACAGAGAUGUUAUUCCCGUAAGGGCUUUUAUAUAGGUGCUGCAUGGCUGUCGU
rnacentral:rRNA from 1 species